UGGGGAAUAUUGGACAAUGGGCGCAAGCCUGAUCCAGCAAUGCCGCGUGUGUGAAGAAGGCCUUCGGGUUGUAAAGCACUUUUAUCAGGAGCGAAACGCUGUCGGCUAAUACCCGGCGGAACUGACGGUACCUGAGGAAUAAGCACCGGCUAACUUCGUGCCAGCAGCCGCGGUAAUACGAAGGGUGCAAGGUUAAUCGGAAUUACUGGGCGUAAAGCGUGCGUAGGCGGUUUCUUAAGUCUGCUGUGAAAUCCCCGGGCUCAACCUGGGAAUGGCAGUGGAUACUGGGAGGCUAGAGUGUGUCAGAGGUGGUGGAAUUCCCGGUGUAGCGGUGAAAUGCGUAGAGAUCGGGAGGAACAUCAGUGGCGAAGGCGGCCACCUGGGACAACACUGACGCUGAGGCACGAAAGCGUGGGGAGCAAACAGGAUUAGAUACCCUGGUAGUCCACGCCCUAAACGAUGCGAACUGGAUGUUGGUCUCAACUCGGAGAUCAGUGUCGAAGCUAACGCGUUAAGUUCGCCGCCUGGGGAGUACGGUCGCAAGACUGAAACUUAAAUGAAUUGACGGGGUCAUAGCUGUUUCCUG
rnacentral:rRNA from 1 species